GACGAACGCUGGCGGCGUGCUUAACACAUGCAAGUCGAACGGAAAGGCCCUGCUUUUGUGGGGUGCUCGAGUGGCGAACGGGUGAGUAACACGUGAGUAACCUGCCCUUGACUUUGGGAUAACUUCAGGAAACUGGGGCUAAUACCGGAUAGGAGCUCCUGCUGCAUGGUGGGGGUUGGAAAGUUUCGGCGGUUGGGGAUGGACUCGCGGCUUAUCAGCUUGUUGGUGGGGUAGUGGCUUACCAAGGCUUUGACGGGUAGCCGGCCUGAGAGGGUGACCGGGCACAUUGGGACUGAGAUACGGCCCAGACUCCGAGGGGAGGCAGCAGUGGGGAAUAGUGCACAAUGGGCGGAAGCCUGAUGGAGCAACGCCGCGUGCGGGAUGACGGCCUUCGGGUUGUAAACCGCUUUCGCCUGUGACGAAGCGUGAGUGACGGUAAUGGGUAAAGAAGCACCGGCUAACUACGUG
rnacentral:rRNA from 1 species